ACCGGCAGCUAGCUCUCUGCAACUCUCACAUGGUCGCCCACUGAAGCUAAGCACUGCUGCGCCCGGUCAGUACCUGGAUGGGAGACCACAUGGGAAAGCUAGGUUGCUGCCGGAA
rnacentral:rRNA from 1 species